UACGUAGGGGGCGAGCGUUGUCCGGAUUUAUUGGGCGUAAAGAGCUCGUAGGCGGUUUGGCAAGUCGGGUGUGAAAACUCCGGGCUCAACUCGGAGACGCCACUCGAUACUGCUAUGACUCGAGUCCGGAAGAGGAGUGUGGAAUUCCUGGUGUAGCGGUGAAAUGCGCAGAUAUCAGGAGGAACACCAAUGGCGAAGGCAGCACUCUGGGACGUGACUGACGCUGAGACGCGAAAGCGUGGGGAGCAAACAGG
rnacentral:rRNA from 1 species